rnacentral:rRNA from 1 species
CUUCGGGGACAUUGGUGACAGGUGGUGCAUGGUUGUCGUCAGCUCGUGUCGUGAGAUGUUGGGUUAAGUCCCGCAAAGAGCGCAACCCUUGUCUUUAGUUGCCAUCAUUAAGUUGGGCACUCUAGAGAGACUGCCAGGGAUAACCUGGAGGAAGGUGGGGAUGACGUCAAAUCAUCAUGCCCCUUAUGCUUAGGGCUACACACGUGCUACAAUGGGUAGUACAGAGGGUUGCCAAGCCGUAAGGUGGAGCUAAUCCCUUAAAGCUACUCUCAGUUCGGAUUGUAGGCUGAAACUCGCCUACAUGAAGCUGGAGUUACUAGUAAUCGCAGAUCAGAAUGCUGCGGUGAAUGCGUUCCCGGGUCUUGUACACACCGCCCGUCACACCACGGGAGUUGGAGACGCCCGAAGCCGAUUAUCUAACCUUUUGGAAGAAGUCGUCGAAGGUGGAAUCAAUAACUGGGGUGAAGUCGUAACAAGGUAGCCGUAUCGGAAGGUGCGGCUGGAUCACCUCCUUUCUAAGGA